UAGAUAGAGGUUGCGAUAUUUAAGAGUAUGUUUAUUGAGGUAAGCACGAUGAUAUAAACAGAAAGGAAAUUUCGCCGAAAUGUAUAGUUUAUGCUUUAAGACUAUAGCAUUGGGGUUAUGCAAAAUAUGCAUAAAACUGUCACAAAAUUUUGUGAAGAGCUAUCA
rnacentral:ncRNA from 1 species